UACAGAGGUCUCAAGCGUUGUUCGGAUUCAUUGGGCGUAAAGGGUGCGUAGGCGGCGUGGUAAGUCGGGUGUGAAAUCUCGGAGCUUAACUCCGAAACUGCAUUCGAUACUGCCGUGCUUGAGGACUGGAGAGGAGACUGGAAUUUACGGUGUAGCGGUGAAAUGCGUAGAUAUCGUAAGGAAGACCAGUGGCGAAGGCGACUCACUGGCCCGAUACUGACGCUGAGGCGCGAAAGCGUGGGGAGCAAACAGG
rnacentral:rRNA from 1 species